UACGUAGGGGGCGAGCGUUGUCCGGAGUUACUGGGCGUAAAGGGCGUGCAGGCGGUGCGGUAAAUUUAGGGUGACAGUCUCCGGCUUAACUGGAGAAGGCCGCUGAAAACUGCUGGACUUGAGGGCCAGAGAGGGACAUAGAAUUCCGGGUGGAGGGGUGAAAUGCGUAGAUAUCCGGAGGAAUACCAAAGGCGAAGGCAGUGUCCUGGCUGGCAACUGACGCUGAGGCGCGAAAGCUAGGGGAGCGAACAGG
rnacentral:rRNA from 1 species